AAUCAACGCUGGCGGCGUGCCUAACACAUGCAAGUCGAACGCGAAAGUGGAGCAAUCCAUGAGUAGAGUGGCAAACGGGUGAGUAACGCGUGGGUGAUCUACCUCUGAGUGGGGGAUAACCUUCCGAAAGGAGGGCUAAUACCGCAUCACAUUGCGCUCUUGGAUGAGUGCGUAUCAAAGCUGGCAACCCGCAAGGGUCUGGCGCUUGGAGAGGAGCCCGCGCCUGAUUAGCUAGUUGGUGGGGUAAUGGCCUACCAAGGCGACGAUCAGUAGCCGGCCUGAGAGGGCGGACGGCCACACUGGGACUGAGACACGGCCCAGACUCCUACGGGAGGCAGCAGUGGGGAAUUGUUCGCAAUGGGCGCAAGCCUGACGACGCAACGCCGCGUGGAGGAUGAAGAAUUUCGGUUCGUAAACUCCUGUCGAGCGGGACGAAAGAUGCGCGGGUUAAUACCCCGUGCAAGUGACGGUACCGAUUGAGGAAGCCACGGCUAACUCUGUGCCAGCAGCCGCGGUAAUACAGAGGUGGCAAGCGUUGUUCGGAAUUACUGGGCGUAAAGGGCGCGUAGGCGGUCGCCUAAGUCGGACGUGAAAUCCCCAAGCUUAACUUGGGAACUGCGUUCGAUACUGGGUGACUUGAGUUCGGGAGAGGAAUGUGGAAUCCAGGUGUAG
rnacentral:rRNA from 1 species